rnacentral:rRNA from 1 species
AGUAAAAGAUUUAUUGCCUAAAGAGGAGCUCGCGUCUGAUYAGCUAGAUGGUGGGGUAAAGGCCUACCAUGKCGACGAUCAGUAGCUGGUCUGAGAGGAUGAGCAGCCACACUGGGACUGAGACWCGKCCCAGACUCCUMCGGGAGGCAGCAGUGGGGAAUUUUCCGCAAUGGGCGAAAGCCUGACGGAGCAAUACCGCGUGAGGGAGGAAGGCUCUUGGGUUGUAAACCUCAAAACUUAGGGAAGAAGAAAGUGCACGGUACCUAAUAUAAGCAUCGGCUAACUCCGUGCCAGCAGCCGCGGUAAUACGGAGGAUGCAAGCGUUAUCCGGAAUCAUUGGGCGUAAAGAGUCUGUAGGUGGCAUUUAAAGUCUGCUGUCAAAGACCGAAGCUCAACUUCGGGCAGGCGGUGGAMACUGAAAAGCUAGAGUAUAGUAGGGGUAGAGGGAAUUCCUAGUGUAGCGGUGAAAUGCGUAGAGAUUAGGAAGAACACCAGYGG